GAGAGUUGUUGACUUCCCUUCCCACAGCUCUUGCUAACAGCCAUUGGCAUUGGGAUGAAUCCUCUUUUUGAUCCACUUCUCCAUUAUCUGGGAUCCCAGCAUUAUGCUGGUUGAGGAGCAGACUGGAUUGUGGUCCUGUGUCAACACAUCAUUUGCACCUACCAUAUGGAAUAUAUUCUGAGAAUCAGUAAGAGAGCGGAGAGAAGUGACCAUGGAUAGACACCAUUUCCCAAAAUAUAUUAUGAUUGUACCUAGCCUUGUGGCUUUCCAUUGACCUUUCCUAUUUUAUGUUUCAGAAUUUUUGCCUCAUCUGAAUAAUAAAUUCAAAUAAUAUCCCUAAUUUUCAGUUAAUGAAAACCCCAAUUUUUUUUUUCAGUGCCCAGUUUUUAAGAUAUAUGUGUAUUGUAAGUUAUCAGAUCAAAAUUUAGAGCCUUAAUGGAGUGCAAGACCUUUGUCAGAUACAGGUAUUUUUAUCAGUGCGAUUUCUCCUGUGUCUGUUCGUCUUGCUAUUUAUUUUCUUUCAUUAUACACUUUUCUGAUGCGGUCAGGUUAGCCAUUUGAAUCAUUUCUCAGUGUUCUAUGGCAUAACCAUUUCUGACCAAUGUAUCUAUAAAUAAUUUUCUCCCUAAGUUUUUGGCAUAGAGAAUAUCCAGAGUAAUAGGGCUUCUCUGAAGUAUUUUUGAGACUUUUCAUUGCAGGUUUUCAACUUUUUCUAAAAUCAUAUGAAUUCAGAGGAGUUCAGCUGAACCAGGGAGUGCAUCGUCUCACAGUAGAACCUGCAGCAAAAUUUUGUUGCUACAAGCACCAAAUUCCUGAUAUUUUCUAUUUGCAUAGGAAGUGAAUAUGUUACAAUUUACAGAGAUGUUUUUUCAAGGAAGCAGCAGGUUUGGGGAUUUGUUACCCAAACCCAUCACUCUUUAGAAUGUAAACAGUUUGAUGAUUGAUUAACUUGUCAUUGUGCACAGUUAGGGUGGUAGCGUUAAAAACAAGCAGUAAACUAUCAGUUUGAGUACUAGCCCUUUUGGCUAUGUGAAGAGUGUGUUGGGCCUAAGAGACUGUGUUAGAAGUGGUGUUGGGGGGAGAGGAGGGCGGCAGGAUCAGUAGCUCGCCUCUACCAAAAAAACACCAUUAAAAUUUUUCCUUUGCUUCCUGCUCCUGCAAAUGUUGAGCUCCCUUCAACAACUUGCUUUUGUAAUAAAUACUAAAUGGCAAAGUGUUUUAUACUGAAUUCUUAAAAUAAAGAUAACACGUUGUUUGGGUGCAAGCCCCAGCUGGCUAGGGAGUGGAAUGGGGGUGAUAGAAAUGGAGAGGGCUUCAGAAUAGGUGAAAGGGAAAUAAGAAAAACAAAGGAAGCAAGGAAUUAAAAAUGGAAAAUAAGUUUUUGUAGUGGAAAUGUCUGCUAUGUUUACAAAAUAUUUUUUCAAAAUGCGAAACUUUGGAAAGAAUAAGCUGUCAGUAGUGAUACCACAUCAUGAAAAGUCAGGCCACAUACCCUUUACGAAUGUGCACACCUGGUUGUGCAUAUUGUGGAAGGUGUACUUAUUGUGACAAGUAAUAUUUCCACUUUUUAAUUGCUUGAAAAUCCAAGAUUACAGUGUCAUAUGUUUCUAUUAAUUUUUACACUGAUGUAACUGGGACUCCAUUACGCUGUUGAACUAUACAGAGUAAAAAUGACCUACUAUAUCAGGAGAGAUCUCUGCAUUUGCAUGUUAAUGGAGUUCUAUAAAAGCUAUAUCCUGGUUCAUUAGGAAAUAAAAAACUAUUAAUUAAAAUGUUGACGUUUGUAUCCGAGUACACACAGGAUGACAGAAAUGGCCUUUCGAAACAGACAAAGGCAUCAAGGGAUCUUCAGAAAAGAGUUUGUUGCUAAUUUAACCUAAACUGAUGUUUAGGUGGGUGCAAUUUAUUUUUGUAAUAAGAAGUACAUUUUAGUUCUGUACAUUGUUGCUGAUUGCAAAGGUGAAGAUAAUGAUCUCUUAAAACAAUUCCUGUUAUUAUAUUGUCACUUGUUAUACUACCCAGACAGUGGCCAGAGGUACUACCGCCAGGCACCUGUUCUGGAGAAGCCGUGUUCUUGCUGAGGGCAUUCUUCAGCUAGAAUUACACAAACAUAACUUUAGACAUCUCUGCAGCCAGAACUAUGCCGCCAGGUAGUGGAGAAGGUAAAAUAUGUCAUAUCUGUGUCAUCUGCACAGGAGUGUUCUCUCUGAGGGAACUUCCAUCAUCUUUCCAUUUCAAUCAUUUGAUAUAUGCAAUCCUUUUUAUUUCUGUUGUCUCCUGUAUAGAUGCUACCAGUUUAAAAUACCACUAAUAUAAACUACCAGUGUAACGUACCAACAGCAAUACUGCUGUUUAAUAAAGGUAAAUUCUGGGACUGGGCAA